rnacentral:rRNA from 1 species
UACGUAGGGUGCAAGCGUUAAUCGGAAUUACUGGGCGUAAAGCGUGCGCAGGCGGUUGUGUAAGUCAGGUGUGAAAUCCCCGGGCUUAACCUGGGAAUUGCAUUUGUGACUGCACGGCUAGAGUGUGUCAGAGGGGGGUAGAAUUCCACGUGUAGCAGUGAAAUGCGUAGAUAUGUGGAGGAAUACCGAUGGCGAAGGCAGCCCCCUGGGAUAACACUGACGCUCAUGCACGAAAGCGUGGGGAGCAAACAGG